AGCAUGGCGCAGUGGUUUGAGUGCUUGACUACAAUUCUGGAGACCAGGGUUCAAUUCCCAGUUCAGCCA